UUGCGAAGAACGCUGUGUUUUGGUAUCGCCGGGAAGUCAAAACACGAUUCUCUCAUCAUAUUGCGUCAAAAUUACCCGUAGUAUAAUGAUGAAGUACCACCGUGGCCACAUGGAGUGCCUUCCUGAAUUGUAAAACUUGAUCACCCUUCACCAUGGCUCUCGUCUUCGGCAUCGGUGCUGGCCUGUUCACCCUAGCCAUCAUAUGGGGCUUCUCUCUACUGAUGUCCAUCAUCUUGUCCAGGGCUUCCGGGGGUGCCAAGUAUGGAGGCAUUGCUUUGGUAGUGUUGGCUGGUUUGAUUACAGUCAUCCUAAUCAUCUACCCCAAAGAAGGAGUCAACCCUGAACCAGACACACGGAUAACAGACCGAAUGUUCUGGCCGAGAAUCAUCAUUUUGACAGUCAUCAGUAUAUUUGCCCUGCUCUGCCUUGUCUUCAUGUUCAUAUUUCAUUGGACGGAACCCAUCUAUGCCAAGCCCAUCAAGAGCCGAAGAUUCUGAGCCUGUCAACCUGACUCAGACUGGCAGUAAAGUGAGACUCAGCAUCAAAUCAACACCUCAUGAAGGCAUAGACCUCUCGGAAGUGACACCAGUUACAUGUAUAUCUUGAAAGCAGUUUCUGGGGUCAAGAGAUGAGUAUUGCUGAGGUGACGUCGUAUUACCGAUGGCAAUUUACAGCUGCCUGCACUUGUUGUCAUCCGUCAUGGGUGUAGGGAGUAUUUUGUACAGCUAUGGAGCCCUGGAUCAUAAACCUUAUAAUCACGGCCGGCCCAAUCUGGGCUUGAAUGGAUUCCCUCGAGCAGGACUUGAAAUAUCCUACCAUCACGUCAUUCACCUGUUCUAAUCGGAUGUGCUGCUGUUGAAAGCUACCCAAGAACAUCAAAGCCCAAUGCAGAGAACUGACACGUAUGUGACAAGCAACAAGUGGCUUGGAAACAAAAGUGGACUUUGUGCACGUAGUGGCCAUUUGAGAUCCUGCUUCCUGAAUCCUCUUGACUUAUUGAGCCCUCAGUAAUGGGAAGGUGCCUAUUGUACUGUGACUCCAGGGUUUGCCUCACUUUGAACAAUUGUUUUCAUUUCAGCCACUACUCAACUACUUUUAACAGAACUUUGCUGUUCCUACAAACCUUUUUUAAUGUAUUCAAAUUGCAUUGUAACCAUUCCUGCAGUAUGAGCUACUGUUAUGCAUACAUAUAGUUUCAGCAAUUGUGGAAACAGCCAAAUUUCUGUUAGUGAUGAGUAGGAUCGUCAGCUUGGGGUAAGCACAGGAACUUUCAUUUCUACAUAUCAUGAGUUCAACUUCUGGCUGGGGGAACUCGGUGUGGUCUUGAUAUGCGUGUUUAGGAUAGGAAAGUGACACUUCAGAGACAGAGUUCUAAUGACCUUCCCCCACACUAAACACCAAUGUUUACUUACAAUGAAGAAUUUUGUACAAGGAAAAUUGCUUUCCAAAGUAUUUUGUAAAUUAUGCCCCGCCCUGGCAAAAAAAGGUUCCAGUGUUCGAGAUUCGGUGCUUGACGUACGUGUAUUCAACAUAAAAACAUGUGCCCUGGGAUGGGUAACUUGUAGCAGCAUGAUCCGUUUAAUAACCCUCUCUCCAGCAUUCUACACAAGUCAAUCGAUUUUGUGCAAGGAUUUUUCAAUCCGAAUCAUAGGUGGGCUGUAGUGAUAAAUUCACCUAAAAUACUUACGAGAUUACACCAAAAAAAGCAGCAGUUCAGGUCACCAGAUUUGCAUCUACAUAUAUUCAGUUUAUUAUGUACAGAACAUUGAAACAAGUGGGGUUUUCCAAAGCUAAAACCAGUUCCCCAAAUCGUGGGUCCGUUUUUGAACCUGUUACUAAUCUUUGCUCACUUUGUACAUGUACAUGUACACCCUAACUCUUUCAACAAAAAUGCCUCCAAACAAACAAACUAUCAUGGCUAUUGUAAACAAAAACCAAUGAAAAAUAUAUGAACACUGUACGUGUGUGUUCACUACCAAAAACUUCCAUGCUAGUACAACACGUACAUGCAACAAGUAUCAUACAAGUUAGCCAAUUUACAAGGAAUAAACUCUUUUAAUCAA
rnacentral:misc_RNA from 1 species